CCACUGUCCUAGAGUGUGUACUCUAGCUGAUGAGUCGGAAACGACGAAACAGAAA
rnacentral:hammerhead_ribozyme from 1 species